GAGGCUGGAAGUCUGUGUCCCAGGGUAUGAUCCCUCUGUCUGGAAUGACUCAACAGGAAAACAUCUCUACUCAGGGCUCCACAUCAGCAGCCCCCCUUUGACAUUCCCGGGUGAUUUCUGAGAGCUGGACGUUCUCCAUGGAUUUCUUGGCUCCUGUGGUUCUCAAACCUAAGGACUGAAAGAGAGAUAGAGAGGUUAAGACGUAUACAGAACAGAAGAACAACUGAGGCCACAAUCCAGAGGAAUCUGUUCAAACGGCUCAAAACUGACCUGCUCCUCAUCUGAACUGUGAUUUACACCGCUGUUGUGUCCGUGUCUCUGAGUGAGAGGACUGACAGUGACCAUUACUGAACCCUAAACG
ensembl:lncRNA